CCUAAGAAUCUGCCUGGUAGUGGGGGAUAACGUUCGGAAACGGACGCUAAUACCGCAUUCGUCCUACUGGAGAAAGCAGGGGACCUUCUGGCCUUGCGCUUUCUCAUGAUCCUAGGUCGGAUUACCUAGUUGGUGAGGUAAUGGCUCACCAAGGCUACCAUCCAUAACUGGUCUGAGAUGAUGAUCAUUCACGCUGGAGCUGAGACACUGUCCAGACUCCUACCGGAGGUAGCAGUGGGGAAUAUUGGACAAUGGGCGAAAGCCUGAUCCAGCCAUGCCGCGUGUGUGAAGAAGGUCUUCGGAUUGUAAAGCACUUUAAGUUGGGAGGAAGGGCAUUAACCUAAUACGUUAGUGUUUUGACGUUACCGACAGAAUAAGCACCGGCUAACUCUGUGCCAGCAGCCGCGGUAAUACAGAGGGUGCAAGCGUUAAUCGGAAUUACUGGGCGUAAAGCGCGCGUAGGUGGUUCGUUAAGUUGGAUGUGAAAUCCCCGGGCUCAACCUGGGAACUGCAUUCAAAACUGUCGAGCUAGAGUAUGGUAGAGGGUGGUGGAAUUUCCUGUGU
rnacentral:rRNA from 1 species